rnacentral:rRNA from 1 species
UACGAAGGGGGCUAGCGUUGUUCGGAAUUACUGGGCGUAAAGCGCACGUAGGCGGAUAUUUAAGUCAGGGGUGAAAUCCCAGAGCUCAACUCUGGAACUGCCUUUGAUACUGGGUAUCUUGAGUAUGGAAGAGGUAAGUGGAAUUCCGAGUGUAGAGGUGAAAUUCGUAGAUAUUCGGGAGGAACACCAGUGGCGAAGGCGG